CAAAAGAUGGCUGAGGUUAUAGGCAUUAGAUUGUAAAUCUAAAAACGAAUUUUUUUUCUCUUUUGA
rnacentral:tRNA from 1 species